GUCCCGGUUGUUUUGUGUAAGCCAGAAGCUUAAGGUCGCCCUGCAUCACGCCUUAGUUUAUAUAGAGACGUCCAACAUUCUCCUCAUCAUUGACACGGUCUACUACAGCAGGCGAAGACAAUACCACAACAAGGUUCAGUUGUAUUGCAAGACUUCAAAACCAACCGAAGGCAGCCUGUGUGAGCAAAAUGUUGACAAAGACUGGACCGUCGGUGCCUCUCCCCACUGCUAUUCCCGCGGUUGACGUCAGUUCCGUCAUCACGUUCCUGAUGUUGGGGCUGAUCCUGGCGUCACUCAUGUGGCUGUGCUGCUGCGGCUGGAAGAUAGAGGGACCCAUGACCGACACCUGGCGGACCAAACCGAUCAGACAGACAAGGGGAUUCGUGACAGGACCGUUAGUGAAAAGCACGAGCCAAUCAACGAUAAGCAGCAAGAACUCACAAAGAGAACAACUGAGUGUAUCGUUUGUUUGAUUGAUUGAUUGGGUGUCGAGUGAGAAAGAGUUUUUUGCGAGAAUGAUAUAGGUCUGUAGUAUGAAGCUGGAUUCUUCACAUAAAGAUAAUGAUAUCACUUUAGUAGCAAAAUGAACGAAUGAACAUUAGAACAAUUAACGUAUUCAUAUUAAAGUAAAGUACAUGUACUACAUAAGACGUAUCAUUUGUCUAGCUUUUUCUAUUUACCUAUGUACCGCGUGGUAUUUGUAAGAAAAGAGGUAACAUCGGUACUACUAUAUAAUGACACUGGUUGAUAUAUUGUUAGAUUAUUCUGCUUCCUUACAAGCUAGGUCCUGUAAAGUUAGCUGAGAGUAACUUAGACGUAAAGCAUGUACAUGGCGUCCCAGCCUUUUUGUCCAGUGACGUUUUUUGGAAGCUUAUCAUGAACUUAAUGUGAAACAAUCUGACAAUAAAUGAAAGGAAAAGUACAAAGGAAA